rnacentral:rRNA from 1 species
GACGAAGGUCCCCUAGCGUUGUUCGGAAUCAUUGGGCGUAAAGCGUGUGUAGGCGGCUAUUUAAGUCAGGUGUGAAAGCCCUGGGCUCAACCCAGGAAGUGCGUUUGAUACUGAGUAGCUUGAGUAUUGGAGAGGAUAGUAGAAUUCCUGGUGUAGUGGUGAAAUACGUAGAUAUCAGGAGGAAUACCGGUGGCGAAGGCGGCUAUCUGGCCAUAUACUGACGCUGAGACACGAAAGCGU